CUCUCGAGGGAAUGAGAUAAAUGGCAAUGGCGACGGCGGCUUCUUUCGCUCUCUCCGCGGCUCCCAGGUCUGGAAACCUCGACGAUUUUGGCAGCGCGAUUCCUUUCCACGCCAAUGCGCCGCCGCGGAGGAGGAUGACGGCGAUUCGAGCGACUGGAGCGGCAACCAAGCGCGCCAAGACUCCAGCCGAGGAGGAUUGGAGAAUCAAGCGCGAGGCUUUGAAGAAAAACCAGGUACGCUCUAUCACUCCCAAGGACGCUAAAAGGCUCCAGGACGAACAAGGCUACGUUCUUCUAGAUGUUCGUCCUCAGAACGAAUUCCAAAAGAUGCAUCCUAUAGGAGCUGUGAAUGUAGAGAUUUACAGGCUUAUCAAGGAAUGGACUGCCUGGGAUAUCGCUCGAAGGCUGGGAUUCGCGUUCUUUGGCAUUUUCGACGGUACCGAAGAGAAUCCAAACUUCCUUGCAGAUGUGAGGGCUAAGGUCGAAAGCAAGUCCAAAGUUAUUGUUGCCUGCGCAUCUGGAGGUACAAUGAAGCCUACUCCAACUUUGGCCGAUGGACAGCAAUCAAGAUCGUUGAUUGCGGCAUACGUGCUUCUCAUGGACGGCUAUACGAAUGUUUUGCACCUGGAAGGUGGGCUUCGGAGCUGGUACCAGGAUCGACUUCCGACGGAAGAAGCCUCGGAAUAGAUCAAGAGGUUCGCUGUAAACUCUGGUUGUGUGUGUGUGUAUAUUUAUGUAUAACAUUCGUGCUGCUCCUCAAUAAGCUGGUUUGUGGGAGAGUACCAGCAGCGUUUUGUGAAGCAUUGAUAAAAAACUUAAGAUUUUUCCUUUCCUACGCGGCUAUCAUUCUCGUCACCUGGAAGUUAAUUAUCCGUUAUUUUGGAGGUACAGUGCUUUGGUGUCAACCGUUUUGUUGGCUUCCUUUUCAUUUUGCGAUUGUAUUGCGGGGGUGCAGGGUCUUAUACGGCCGAUCACAGAGCAAAAGGCAUGACUGGGGAGCUUAGUACAUUACACUAUCAGGUACGCAAGAAAAAGGUGUUGCAGGACUUGCCGCUGCAAGAGACCAAACGGGGAGAUGUUUGGGGGCAACACGGGGUACUUGUUCCUGAAACCUUUUGUACUGCUCAGCGAGCCAUCGACAAUGUUGAGUUUCUCGGGAAGAACAUUUCGAGAAAGUAAAAGAAAUCUCUUCCCCAAGUUCUUCGUCUUAUGCGCUGCUUACUUAGCGCAUCAUUCUAAGAAACAGCAAGCAGACAAAAGCCUUUGCCGUAAUGAUUUGGUUGGAGGCGGCUGCUGCGAGAAAAUCCAUAUAGAAAGCUCGCGCGCUCGCUUGAUCCAUUUCUUACUAAAGAAUAGAGAAAUCCCAAACAA